rnacentral:lncRNA from 1 species
AUAAACACAAUAAUUGGUAGAACUAAAAUCUUAUUUAAAUCGUAUUCAUUUAUUGUAUAAAUUGUUUUAAUGCCUAGAAUUUGGGUUUCUAUGCAGUCGGUCGUCUAAAGCGCCUAUAACCUGCCCAAUUAUUGUGACUCGGCGGUUCGGCUGAUAUUGGAGCAUAAUCUAUUGAGAAAAAUCCAGAAUCCAAAUUAUCUUCC